UUAGAGGGUGAGACACUACUGUGCAAUUGCAAUUCCCUUUAUAUGUAACAGGAUGGCUUGAGCAUCAAGAAAAUUCACUUUGUCAAAUCCUCAUACCACCUUGUUUCACAUCUUGCUGCAGCUGUAACAUGGACCUUGCUAAGUCAGUAGGAAUUGUAUGUCUGGAUGGGGUAGUCCCGUGCUGGAAUGAGUGGUUGAAUGGAUGGCUAGAAAUAGACCAAUUCGAAGGCUGAGUUUGGCCUUUUAAAGAAGUCAAAGCAGAGGCAUUUGGUUUCACUCUUGUAUUUAUAAAUAGCUAUCUAAUAGUGCAGCACAGUUUGACCGUGCAGCCCAGGGUCGGAAGGGAUUGCCUGCGUGCUUUUACCAGCUGUCAGUGUGGCAACUGUGGGGUCCCGGCUGGAGCACCCAAUUCCUAUCAUGAAGUCAGCAUUCAAACUGGUUUCUGUCCCACUGCUCCCCCCCAGCCUUCCAGUACUUGGGGCAUGUGGUGAACAGCCAUGGUGCCAACAGCCCCAAAGUCUUGUGCUGGCACUGGAACCAAGCAUCACGUGUUUUCAUGUGUGCAUUGCUUUUGUAUGGAAGGAAAGACAAGUGUUGGACACCCUUACCCAAGGUAGAGAAGGUUCUAUCCCAGGUCCGAGUCCUGUCCAGCACCAGCACCCAAUGCAGAUCUUGGAGAGCAAAUGAAAAUAGUACGAAGUGAUGAGAGACCAUCCAAGGUAAUUCUAAGCUGUCUGUGAGCGUUUUGCUCCACCCUGUAUACACUUUAUUUUUGUUGUUCUGGCUGUGGUCCCUUGAGACAAAUAUUGUUGUGUCUUGGAAUGCUUGUUACUGCAUCUGGAGAUGUGAAAAUUCUUUCUCUCCUCAGCAAUCUCUGUGGAUAUCAACAAACAGGUACAACAUGCUCAGACAGUGCUGGUUAGAGGGGGGGGAGAAGUCAAAUAAACCUAAUGUGCCAGUAUAAUUCA
rnacentral:lncRNA from 1 species